rnacentral:rRNA from 1 species
AUUGAACGCUGGCGGUAUGCUUAAGACAUGCAAGUCGAACGGUAACAGACCUUCGGGUGCUGACGAGUGGCGGACGGGUGAGUAACACGUGGGAAUCUACCUUGUAGUGGGGGAUAAGCCAGGGAAACUUGGACUAAUACCGCAUACGCCCUAAGGGGAAAGGAGCAAUUCGCUAUAAGAUGAGCCCGCGUCUGAUUAGCUAGUUGGUGAGGUAAAGGCUCACCAAGGCGACGAUCAGUAGCUGGUCUGAGAGGAUGACCAGCCACAUUGGGACUGAGACACGGCCCAGACUCCUACGGGAGGCAGCAGUCGGGAAUAUUGGACAAUGGGGGCGAACCCUGAUCCAGCAAUACCGCGUGUGUGAAGAAGGCCUGCGGGUUGUAAAGCACUUUUAGUAGGGAAGAUAAUGACGUUACCUACAGAAAAAGCACCGGCUAACUACGUG